rnacentral:rRNA from 1 species
UACAGAGGUCCCAAGCGUUGUUCGGAUUCACUGGGCGUAAAGGGUGCGUAGGUGGCGAGGUAAGUUUGAUGUGAAAUCUCCGAGCUUAACUCGGAAAUGGCAUUGAAUACUAUCUUGCUUGAGGGUUGGAGGGGGGACUGGAAUUCUCGGUGUAGCAGUGAAAUGCGUAGAUAUCGAGAGGAACACCAGUGGCGAAGGCGAGUCCCUGGACAACUCCUGACACUGAGGCACGAAAGCUAGGGGAGCAAACAGG